GUGAUAUAUUUUGUGUGAAAAACUGGAAAACAAAGUGCAUACCUGCAUAACCUCACUUAUCGCAGUUUUGCACAUUUUGAUGAUGGGAAUUGCGGUUCAAGUAAUUAUGAGUUAUAGAUGGAGCUCACUGUUUACUUCAAACUGAAGCCUUUUGGGUCCACUUUUUUCGUUGUUAUUUCCUGGUAGCGACUCUUGUUUCAAGCAGAAUGGGUGUAAAGUUAAAAAUAAUCCCAUAAAAUUGUUAAUAUAACUCCGUUGCACUGGCAUGGGGUAUUUGAAAACUUACGUUUAACAAAUACGUCACAAAGUCUCAUCCAUCGUCGAAAAACAUAAUAAGGGCUUUAUAACAACAAGCGCUUUCUGAUUUUACUGUGGACGUGUGGAAGAAUAGUGUGAAAUAUUGCGAAAAACCAACUUUUACUCUUGUUUAAAUUUUUGUACGUCUCUAUCUGAGAGUAGUCGUCUUUUACAAAAAAUAUAGCCUACUAAUAAAGGAAAUUAAAGUGUUUUUAUUUCUGGGUUGCCCCCAAUUCCACUUCGCCCUUGCCUGAUAAUCAAGACACUGAUAAUGAAAUUGGUGUAAGUGCAUCGAAUACAAACGUGUUGAAUAGAUGAAUAAAAGAGAGACAACUGCUUUUUUCAAAAAGGCCAUUUCAAAUUUAUUCAAAAAGCACACCCCCAUUGAAAAGGGUCCAUUCACGAUGAAGUUUGGCUUCCUGCAUGACAUAGGUCUCGGGCACCAAUCUCACUGUAAAUGGUCUAAAUUGGUCUUGCAUCUCUAAGACAUGGACUCACUGAGAGCGACUUCUGCAGUAGGCUUGAGACCUGCCUGCCUGUCUCGCAACAAUCUCUGCAUUAUGAUUCCAAAUUAUUUUAUAAAAUGCUGUCAAUUACAAGCCAUGAUAUGAGGCAUGAGGCCGUCUCAGUGUAUGUCUUGUGGUGUACAUUAAAACUGUUUCUUAAAGAACCCAUUCACAAUGAGAUCUGCUUCGCUACAUGCGGCGCGACAGGACUCAAAGACUAAUCCCAAAAGACACAAAAAAACUGACAGUUUCAUCAUUUUAAGCCAUUGACAGCGUUUUCGAAUGUUGGUGCAAAGACUUGUCGCGAGGCAGGUUUCAGCCUUCCGCCAACGUCAGUCUCAGUGAAACCCUCUCAAAGUGAUCUCAGCGAAAACCAUUCACAAUGAGAUUGGUCUAUGAGGCCUAUGUCGUGCCGCAUGCAGCGAGAUAUGUCUCAUUGUUAAUGAAAAUAGGGCCUUUUUUGUUGUUUAAAGUCGUUUUUUAAAACUUUUGUGGCAAAUUUUACUGAUGUGGCAGAGAGGGGGCAUGCAAUUGGAACAUGACGAUGACUACCCUAAAAGGCACUUCGAGAGUUUUAUGGCCUUUUUAAUGCAAAUUUCAACUUUAAACCUGACAGUCAUACCAAGGUCAAACAUAACCUCAACAGUACUCCAGCAACGGUACUUCAAAGCAUUUGAAAGUUUCUCCAUUUGUUUUUAAGUGUUCUAGUUGGUACAUUUUGCUGUACUUUACUACAAUAAAGAAAUAUUUAAAUUUUUAUUAUUGUUUACAUUUGUCAUCUAUCAAACACAUCAAACAACCAAGUUCCCUAAAUUUGAGCUCUUAUCUAGUUUUUGUGCUCUAUAUAGUCUCGCGUCAAGGUAUGCGGUAUGACGUAUCUCAUAUUGAAAUGUCCCGGACUAUAUUUAGAUUUUUGUAAUCAAACCAUAACAUUUUGUUGUCAAUAUACAGAGUGAUUGUAUUAAGGGCUUUGGUACGAGACCUUGAAAAUUUUGGUACAGCAGACAGAGAAGAAUUUGACCGGUUUUCUCGAAUGUCUUUCAUAUCAUUUCAUUUAAACCUUGAACUUGAUUAGAAGCUGUAAUUAUUUUUUAACCAAACGCUAACAAUUUUGCUGUCAACCUUAUAAUGUCUAUCUCACAAAUCUAAUUAAAAA